UUAGUCGGGGUGCCGCAUCAUGCGGCUGAGAACAUACCCGUGAACCUGAUUCAGUUAGCACUGGCGUAGGAAACUAAUGAA
rnacentral:ncRNA from 1 species